GUUUGUACCGUCUACUUAUGUUUGAGCCCCUACUGAUCAGCAAGCCGAGGCUACUGAGAGCCGAACUGCUUAAACUUCUCGAAUGACGAAUAAUUUCACCAGUCAAUUAUCUCUCAAGCCAACUGUUGAAAGGUCCUACCCAAAUACUGACUUGUGAGAUUCCACUUCCAUGAAACACCGAUUAUCAAGAGUAGCCGAGACACUGCCGACCUAAUAAUUAAAUAGGACUUGCAAUUGAAAAAGUGUUCAACCGAGACAACACCAAUUCCAGCCCUAUGUGAGGGCCGACCAUGCUACAAGGAUCCAGUAUCAAGGAGAGUAUACCACAGAGACAAAGACGGGUCGAUUCGGAAGUCUUUAAAAAAAUACUAACGUAGGGGCUUUGUCUUGCGCUAUAUAGUAAGUGAGGUGGCACAGGCCACUCGCGUUUUCUCGUAAAGUCUAUUUUCUUGUAACAACAUGAACGACUGACCUCGCCAGUUUUAUCACCAGAUUUAUUGUGCUGUUAUAACGAUAAAAAGACAAAUACACAGGGUAUGACCGCAGAGGAAAUCGCCCGUGCCGAGACCCGGGUUGUUAUUUCCUCUUCUAUCGGAGGUGUUCAAAUGGCACGAGUAUUCGAGUAUUCAAGUAUUUGACUUCGUUUUUCUGGAGGAUCUCUGGCUUCGAGCGAUCACAUAAUCGAGUCUAAUACAAAAUUUUACCCUUUUUUUCUAAUAAAAGAACGUUCCUCCGCACCUUGGUCUAAAGCACGUGUGCUGUUAAAGAAGGCCAAUCAUGCCGCCAUUUUAUGCUCCCGCUCAAUGCUGAGAGUCACACAAAGAAUCCAUCUUCAUCGGCUAAUUCAAGCAAGUAUUACUCAGUUAAACUGAGAAACUUUUAAUGAAAUAUCAUUAAUAAAGUAUAAGACUUCAAAUGUAGAUUGUUAUUUUAAAGUUUUCUUGCAAAUAAGCCAUUGUAUUUUCAAUUAUAAACAAAAACAAAAGAGAAGUCGAUCGUCAUGCUUUAUUAGAAACCACAUCGCUCUUCA